UUAAGUGACUAAGCGUACACGGUGGAUGCCUAGGCAGUCAGAGGCGAUGAAGGACGUGCUAAUCUGCGAUAAGCGUCGGUGAGCUGAUAUGAAGCAUUAUUAGCCGGCGAUGUCCGAAUGGGGAAACCCAGUGCAAUUCGUUGCACUAUCGUUAAGUGAAUCCAUAGCUUAACGAGGCGAACCAGGGGAACUGAAACAUCUAAGUACCCUGAGGAAAAGAAAUCAACCGAGAUUCCCCCAGUAGCGGCGAGCGAACGGGGAGCAGCCCAGAACCUGAAUCAGUUUGUGCAUUAGUGGAAGCGUCUGGAAAGUCGCGCGAUACCGGGUGAUAGCCCCGUACACGAAGGUGCGCAACUGUGAGUUCGAUGAGUAGGGCGGGACACGUGUUAUCCUGUCUGAAUAUGGGGGGACCAUCCUCCAAGGCUAAAUACUCCUGACUGACCGAUAGUGAACCAGUACCGUGAGGGAAAGGCGAAAAGAACCCCGGCGAGGGGAGUGAAAUAGAACCUGAAACCGUGUACGUACAAGCAGUGGGAGCACCCUUUGGGGUGUGACUGCGUACCUUUUGUAUAAUGGGUCAGCGACUUAUAUUUUGUAGCAAGGUUAACCGAAUAGGGGAGCCGUAGGGAAACCGAGUCUUAACUGGGCGUUGAGUUGCAAGGUAUAGACCCGAAACCCGGUGAUCUAGCCAUGGGCAGGUUGAAGGUUGGGUAACACUAACUGGAGGACCGAACCGACUAAUGUUGAAAAAUUAGCGGAUGACUUGUGGCUGGGGGUGAAAGGCCAAUCAAACCGGGAGAUAGCUGGUUCUCCCCGAAAGCUAUUUAGGUAGCGCCUCGUGAACUCAUCUUCGGGGGUAGAGCACUGUUUCGGCUAGGGGGUCAUCCCGACUUACCAACCCGAUGCAAACUGCGAAUACCGAAGAAUGUUAUCACGGGAGACACACGGCGGGUGCUAACGUCCGUCGUGAAGAGGGAAACAACCCAGACCGCCAGCUAAGGUCCCAAAGUCAUGGUUAAGUGGGAAACGAUGUGGGAAGGCAUAGACAGCCAGGAUGUUGGCUUAGAAGCAGCCAUCAUUUAAAGAAAGCGUAAUAGCUCACUGGUCGAGUCGGCCUGCGCGGAAGAUGUAACGGGGCUAAACCAUGCACCGAAGCUGCGGCAGCGACACUAUGUGUUGUUGGGUAGGGGAGCGUUCUGUAAGCCUGUGAAGGUGACCUGUGAGGGUUGCUGGAGGUAUCAGAAGUGCGAAUGCUGACAUAAGUAACGAUAAAGCGGGUGAAAAGCCCGCUCGCCGGAAGACCAAGGGUUCCUGUCCAACGUUAAUCGGGGCAGGGUAAGUCGACCCCUAAGGCGAGGCCGAAAGGCGUAGUCGAUGGGAAACAGGUUAAUAUUCCUGUACUUGGUGUUAUUGCGAAGGGGGGACGGAGAAGGCUAGGCCGGCCGGGCGACGGUUGUCCCGGUUUAAGCGUGUAGGUGUGAUGACCUGGCAAAUCCGGUCAUCUUCAACACUGAGGCGUGAUGACGAGGCACUACGGUGCUGAAGUGGUUGAUGCCCUGCUUCCAGGAAAAGCCUCUAAGCUCUAGAUAACACUGAAUCGUACCCCAAACCGACACAGGUGGUCAGGUAGAGAAUACCAAGGCGCUUGAGAGAACUCGGGUGAAGGAACUAGGCAAAAUGGUGCCGUAACUUCGGGAGAAGGCACGCUGGCAUGUAGGUGAAGUCCCUCGCGGAUGGAGCUGAAGCCAGUCGAAGAUACCAGCUGGCUGCAACUGUUUAAUAAAAACACAGCACUCUGCAAACACGAAAGUGGACGUAUAGGGUGUGACGCCUGCCCGGUGCUGGAAGGUUAAUUGAUGGGGUCAGCCGCAAGGCGAAGCUCUUGAUCGAAGCCCCAGUAAACGGCGGCCGUAACUAUAACGGUCCUAAGGUAGCGAAAUUCCUUGUCGGGUAAGUUCCGACCUGCACGAAUGGCGUAAUGAUGGCCAGGCUGUCUCCACCCGAGACUCAGUGAAAUUGAACUCGCUGUGAAGAUGCAGUGUACCCGCGGCAAGACGGAAAGACCCCGUGAACCUUUACUAUAGCUUGACACUGAACAUUGAACCUUGAUGUGUAGGAUAGGUGGGAGGCUUUGAAGUGUGGACGCCAGUCUGCAUGGAGCCGACCUUGAAAUACCACCCUUUAAUGUUUGAUGUUCUAACCUGGUCCCGUAAUCCGGGAUAGGGACAGUGUCUGGUGGGUAGUUUGACUGGGGCGGUCUCCUCCCAAAGCGUAACGGAGGAGCACGAAGGUUAGCUAAUCCUGGUCGGACAUCAGGAGGUUAGUGCAAAGGCAUAAGCUAGCUUGACUGCGAGAGUGACGGCUCGAGCAGGUGCGAAAGCAGGUCUUAGUGAUCCGGUGGUUCUGAAUGGAAGGGCCAUCGCUCAACGGAUAAAAGGUACUCCGGGGAUAACAGGCUGAUACCGCCCAAGAGUUCAUAUCGACGGCGGUGUUUGGCACCUCGAUGUCGGCUCAUCACAUCCUGGGGCUGAAGUAGGUCCCAAGGGUAUGGCUGUUCGCCAUUUAAAGUGGUACGCGAGCUGGGUUUAGAACGUCGUGAGACAGUUCGGUCCCUAUCUGCCGUGGGCGUUGGAAGAUUGAGAGGGGCUGCUCCUAGUACGAGAGGACCGGAGUGGACGCACCGCUGGUGUUCGGGUUGUGAUGCCAAUUGCAUUGCCCGGUAGCUACGUGCGGAAGAGAUAAGCGCUGAAAGCAUCUAAGCGCGAAACUUGCCUCGAGAUGAGUCUUCCCUUGGACCUAGAGUCCACUAAAGGAACGUUUAAGACUAAGACGUUGAUAGGCUGGGUGUGUAAGCGUAGCGAUACGUUGAGCUAACCAGUACUAAUGAUCCGUGAGGCUUAACCUU
rnacentral:rRNA from 1 species